CGGACGGGUGAGUAACGCGUGGGUAACCUGCCUUACACAGGGGGAUAACAGUUAGAAAUGACUGCUAAUACCGCAUAAGACCACAGGGUCGCAUGAUCUUGUGGAAAAAACUGAGGUGGUGUAAGAUGGGCCCGCGUCUGAUUAGCUAGUUGGUGAGGUAAGAGCUCACCAAGGCGACGAUCAGUAGCCGACCUGAGAGGGUGAACGGCCACAUUGGGACUGAGACACGGCCCAAACUCCUACGGGAGGCAGCAG
rnacentral:rRNA from 1 species